GGACGGGUGAGUAAUGCCUAGGAAUCUGCCUGGUAGUGGGGGAUAACGCUCGGAAACGGACGCUAAUACCGCAUACGUCCUACGGGAGAAAGCAGGGGACCUUCGGGCCUUGCGCUAUCAGAUGAGCCUAGGUCGGAUUAGCUAGUUGGUGAGGUAAUGGCUCACCAAGGCGACGAUCUGUAGCUGGUCUGAGAGGACGACCAGCCACACUGGGACUGAGACACGGCCCAGACUCCUACGGGAGGCAGCAGUGGGGAAUUUUGGACAAUGGACGAAAGUCUGAUCCAGCCAUGCCGCGUGCGGGAAAGAAGGCCUUCGGGUUGUAAACCGUUUUGUCAGGGAAGAAAAGCUCCGAACUAAUAUUUGGGGUGAUGACGGUACCUGAAGAAUAAGCACCGGCUAACUACGUGCCAGCAGCCGCGGUAAUACGUAGGGUGCAAGCGUUAAUCGGAAUUACUGGGCGUAAAGCGUGCGCAGGCGGUUCUAUAAGACAGAUGUGAAAUCCCCGGGCUCAACCUGGGAACUGCAUUUGUGACUGUAGAGCUCGAAGUUGCGGCAGAGGGGGGGAUGGAAUUCCGGUGUAGCAGUGGAAAUGCGUAGAGAUGUUGGAGGAAUACCCGA
rnacentral:rRNA from 1 species